rnacentral:rRNA from 2 species
UCGCCCUUUUCCGGUUGAUCCUGCCGGACCCGACUGCUAUCGGAUUGAGAUUUAGCCAUGCGAGUCGAACGCUUCCCUGUUGCGGGAGGCGUGGCGUACGGCUCAGUAACACGUAGUCAACCUGCCCUGGAGACAUGGACAACCCCGGGAAACUGGGAUUAAUCCAUGAUAGGUCAUCUCAUCUGGAAGGAGAGAUGGCUUAAAGGGGUGCGAGAGCUUCUUUCUUGUAUCUGCUCCAGGAUGGGACUGCGGCCGAUCAGGCUGUUGGUGGGGUAAUGGCCCACCAAACCUGUAACCGGUACGGGCCUUGAGAGAGGGGGCCCGGAGAUGGACACUGAGAGAAGGGUCCAGGUCCUACGGGGCGCAGCAGGUGCGAAACCUUCGCAAUGCGCGAAAGCGUGACGAGGUUAAUCCGAGUGGUCCCCGCUGAGGGGAUCUUUUGUCGGCUGUAAAAAGGCCGGUGAAUAAGGGGAGGGCAAGUCUGGUGUCAGCCGCCGCGGUAAUACCAGCUCCUCGAGUGGUCGGGGCGAUUAUUGGGCCUAAAGCAUCCGUAGCCUGUUCUGUAGGUCCUCUGUUAAAUCCAACGGCUUAACCGUUGGCCCGCAGAGGAUACCGCAGGACUAGGAGGCGGGAGAGGUGGACGGUACUCCACGUGUAGGGGUAAAAUCCUUUAAUCCGUGGAAGACCACCAGUGGCGAAGGCGGUCCACCAGAACGCGCUCGACGGUGAGGGAUGAAAGCUGGGGGAGCGAACCGGAUUAGAUACCCGGGUAGUCCCAGCCGUAAACGAUGCAAGCUAGAUGAUCCGGUCGCAAAUCGCGAUCGGAGUGUCGCAGGGAAGCCGUUAAGCUUGCCGCCUGGGGAGUACGGUCGCAAGACUGAAACUUAAAGGAAUUGGCGGGGGAGCACCACAAGGGGUGAAGCCUGCGGUUCAAUUGGAGUCAACGCCAGGAAACUUACCAGGAGAGACAGCAGGUUGAGGGUCAAGCUGAAGACUUUACCUGACGAGCUGAGAGGAGGUGCAUGGCCGUCGCCAGCUCGUGCCGUGAGGCGUCCUGUUAAGUCAGGCAACGAGCGAGACCCAAGGGCGA